rnacentral:rRNA from 2 species
UAGACCGCCUGGGGAGUACGGCCGCAAGGUUAAAACUCAAAUGAAUUGACGGGGGCCCGCACAAGCGGUGGAGCAUGUGGUUUAAUUCGAUGCAACGCGAAGAACCUUACCUGGUCUUGACAUCCACAGAACUUUCCAGAGAUGGACUGGUGCCUUCGGGAACUGUGAGACAGGUGCUGCAUGGCUGUCGUCAGCUCGUGUUGUGAAAUGUUGGGUUAAGUCCCGCAACGAGCGCAACCCUUAUCCUUUGUUGCCAGCGGUUAGGCCGGGAACUCAAAGGAGACUGCCAGUGAUAAACUGGAGGAAGGUGGGGAUGACGUCAAGUCAUCAUGGCCCUUACGACCAGGGCUACACACGUGCUACAAUGGCGCAUACAAAGAGAAGCGACCUCGC